rnacentral:rRNA from 1 species
GUGCCAGACUCCUACGGGAGGCAGCAGUGGGGAAUAUUGCACAAUGGGGGAAACCCUGAUGCAGCGACGCCGCGUGAGUGAAGAAGUAAUUCGUUAUGUAAAGCUCUAUCAGCAGGGAAGAAAAUGAUGGUACCUGAGUAAGAAGCCCCGGCUAACUACGUGCCAGCAGCCGCGGUAAUACGUAGGGGGCAAGCGUUAUCCGGAUUUACUGGGUGUAAAGGGAGCGUAGACGGCAGUGCAAGUCUGGAGUGAAAGGCGGGGGCUCAACCCCCGGACUGCUCUGGAAACUGUACGGCUGGAGUGCAGGAGAGGAUAGUGGAAUUCCAGGUGUAGGAGUGAAAUCCGUAGAUAUCUGGAGGAACAUCAGUGGCGAAGGCGACUAUCUGGCACAUAACUGACGCUGAGGAGCGAAAGCGUGGGUAGCAAACAGGAUUAGAUACCCGAGUA